AGUAAUGGCAGGUCAGCAUACUGCCGUGAAUACGUUCCCGGGCCUUGUACACACCGCCCGUCACACCAUGAGAGUUGGAAAUACCCGAAGCCUGUGAGCUAACUUAAAGAGGCAGCAGUCGAAGGUAGAGCCAAUGAUUGGGGUGAAGUCGUAACAAGGUAGC
rnacentral:rRNA from 1 species